rnacentral:lncRNA from 1 species
AAACUUCAUCAUGAAAUGUUGGGGACCUGCCUCACCAGGUUGAUGUAAGGACCUCGUGGGAUGAAGCCAGCUCAGUGACCAUUCCAGAGAGGACACUCGACACAUGCUCCGGGCAGCUGCCACCAAGAUGGCCCGACUGAGCCAAGGACAUCGGAAACGCUGAAGAACGUACCCUGGAUGAGCUCAGAGGCUGCUGGCUUUAAAGGUCUCAGCCAGAAAGCAAGCCUCCCUGCAUGGCUUCAUCUCUCAAACACGAUUCACUGCACCUGAAGAAGGAAAGCCAAACGCCACAGUGUCCCUGCCCCUGUCUCUCAACAGGCUUGUGUCCGUGACCCCUGCAGGAGGGGCAUGGCGUGCUUCCUUCCUUCCACACCAUCCCCCUUCCAGGCAAAUAAUCCAGCUCUAGCUUGCUUUGCGGACUUGCCAGAUCACCCUUCCCAUCACAGUUUCCCAAUCUUUCUUCUCUUCCUUGCAAAGGCGUGUAUUAAGGGAGAUGGCAAGUCAUUCAUUCGAUAUAAGCUAAUUGAGCACCUACUAUGUGUUGGCUGUGGGGGAUGCAGCAGCGCAUAAGACGAUAGGUCCCAGAGCUUAAUUGGGGGUGGAAGGUGACGCACCAUAAACAAGUAAACACACAGCUGAUGUUGGGGUCGGGGGGGUGCAGCUGAUAAUGGGAUUCACCCUCCAGAGGCAGAGCACUUAAUUAACUUCUGGGACAAGAGGAGGGGAAGGGAAAAUGAGGCUCUUAAGGGGACAGGCCAAAGGCUCUCACCCCAUGAUCAGCCAGGAUUCAGCCAAGGACAUAAAAUCUCAGGUUCAAUAAAUAUUAACUGACAACCUAGUCUGUGCACAGAGCUGUGCUAGACACUAGAGAUACAGAAGUGAACAAAACAGACAACACCCUUGCCCUCCUGGAGCUGACAUUCUUGUGCAGGAGAGGGACAGAUGCUACAUGGGCACAUAAAUACGUGAAGAUUAUUAAGAAUAGCUGCUGUUGUGCAGGAAGGCUUAGCCUUUGCCAGGAAACGUUAGAUACAAGAUGCGGCAGGGCGGAAAACAGGGAGGGUCCCUGCUUUCAGCCAGCAGCUAAACGGUCAAGUUCUAUGUACCGGCUGAGAAUAGGGCCUGGGGAUGAAAGCCAGAGAAGCCUCUCUCAGAAGCCAGGGAAGUGGCUGCUCACCCGCUUAAUCCCUCCAUGGCUCCCCAUUCCCUCCCAAUACAAUCCACACCGGAGACUACAAGGCCCCACCCACAUCCCAAAUAUCCUGUCAGAUGCACUUCCCAUCAGCCCUGUCUGACCUCUGGCCUUUCCCCCUGUUCUUACUGUCGGGGAGACUUUCUGUAACCCCAUACCAGCCCCACUGUCUCCCCCAACCACUUAUCCUUUGGGUACCAGUUUUGAAGUCACCUCCCCCAGGAAGCCUUCCCUGCUCACAACAUAGGAUAAAGUGCUUGUACCUGGAGGUUAUGCCACCCCAGGACACCCCAUCUAUUUGUUGGCAAGCCCUGGGGGUAGAAACGGGGUCUGUCUUGUCCACAGUUUUCUCUCUAUUGCUAGCACAGAGCCAGGCACACAGCAUGCAAUAAAUGACUUAGUGAUCAAAUGACUGAAUAUAUCUCCCACGAACAUAUCUACUGUGGUGCCUAAAAUCCCACCAUUUACCACUCUUGCAGGUUAAGGCGGAGUCAGUACACUACAACCCACGUGCAUGCGCCUGUUCGUUUAUCUCUAUGGCUACAUUGUUGCUACUACUGCAGAGUGUAGGAGCUGCGAAAAAGACCCACCCUAUGGCCACAAAACCUAAAACAUUUACUAUCCGUCCCCUCAGAAAAAAGUUUGCCUGCCCCUAUGUUAAGAAAUCCAACGACCCUGUCCUGAAAUAGGCUCAGCUUCCUUGUCUGUAAAAUGGGGACGACACUAGUGCCUACCUGUUAGGGUCACUGGGAGCAGAAUACAACGCUUAGAACAGUGCCUGGCACUGAGAUUCCUGGGUGUCCACUGUUAAUACUGUUACUAUUUCCGUGGGCCACUCCAUCAGAUCAGCUGGAAGAACUCUCUCAGAGAGACGGAACCCAGGCUAGGAAUGAAGGGGCCAGGAAGAAAGAGGUCACGAGAUUGAGGGGCUCUGGAAAGAGAGGCUGCAGUU